UCUGUCAUGAACAAAGAUGGACAUGUAUGCUUUUCAGCCUGAGCAGCAUGCAGCAUUGAGCCCCACACAUAAUGUAUGGACUGUUGACUGGCUUCCUAUCACCCACAGUGGCUAAGGGCUGAGAGCAGACAGAGGGCUCAACCCCACAGCCCAUGUUUACUUGCAUCUGUUUGAAAAUGGUUAAAAGAAAAGGUUUGGCUGUCUAUUAACCACUGCAGACCUUGGGGUAUUUCCUGGCAGUACCCUCCUUCCUAUCACAACUAGGACUAGCACAGAAAAUUGCAGAAAUCCCCAAGGCUAAUUCCAGAAUAAGCACACAGACUGGGAUUAUGAAAUUAAUAUGGAACAAUAUCACUCGCUCUUUAUCCUAAAGUGUUUCACUCCAGUUCACAUAAACAGGUCAGGGAGAGCCUGGUUCCAGUUUCAGAGCAGGGCUGAGGAAAAAGGAGAAACCCCUGAUCAAGACUGAAUUUCUCAUAAGUACUGACCCCUGUGGCUGCAUCUUCCAGAACCAGCUCAGCAUGUAAGCAGACCAUCCUGGCUGGAAUGUAAAGAGUUAAUGUAGAAUUCUUGUUCCAGCCCGGCUCUGUUUCCAUGGCAACAGCUCAGGGUGGUGAAAUCUGAAACUGAAAUCCCAAGGAGCCUGCGGGCUUGUUAGCUACAAGGCUGGACUCACUGCUCCCCGCGCCACCUGCUGGCUGAACAUCACCAGUGCAGGUGACCUACAUUUCCAACCUCCUGCAUUGCCUUGGGGACCCGGGCCAGGGCCAGGUCUUGCUGCACAGCCAGGUAUGUGUAUUCAUUUACUUGUGUGAUCUUGGCCAAGUCACAACAUCUAAACUUUGAUCUUCUCAUUUGGAAAAAUGAGGACAACAGCCACAAUGCAAGACUGUGAGUGGGUUUUAUGGAAUAUAUACCCUUUCAUCUCUGAAACACGUGUGUAGUAUGUGCCUAAUCGAGACUGCAACAUGGCAGAACCUCAAAUAUUUAUAUGAACAAACAUUUAAAUCUAUACUACUCAGCAUUACCAGGGAUCCACAACCAAACAACAACAACAAAAUAAACAUUCAUCCUGAUCAUCAAAUAAGUACUACCUGGAUCAACUUGGGGGAAAAGUUUCUGAUCCCACUUUGAGAAGUACAGGAUUUACAUUAUUUGUUCUACACCACAAAGUUAUUUUAGAUUUAAAUGCAAUCAAACCAGUGCUGCAUUUAAAGGAAGUUCCUGAAGUUAAAAAGAAGGAAAUGCACAAUAGCUAGAAUAUUUGUGGUAGAUUUUCUGUGGAAGCAAUGUAAAUAGUAAAGGCUUUAAAAUAAAAAAAUCUGAAGUUCAAAUCUCAGACCUGUCUCUAACUACCUACUGGACUAGGCAAAUUCCUAAAAGCCUUAACCUCUGUUUCCUUGCCAUAAAACUAGAUGGUAACAAUCUUGUAGGUCUACUGAGGAAUUAAACAAGAUGCUGGAAGUUCUUACAAUGCUUGGCUACAUAAGGAGCUCCACAAAUCAAGGGACCUGGAUCCACCAAAAUUAAGAUUUCAGAAGAACCCCCUCACAUUUCAAAUAGUUGGGAACACAGAGUUACUCACAGAGAUUCUGGGCUGUCUUUGAAUCCAACACCUUUAACUCUUUUACUUUUUUCUUUUGCACAGAUUUCUUUUCUUCUCCACCUUCCUGAUCCUUCUUGGCUAGUAAGGGAAAGAUUAGAAAAGCAUGAUGAAAGAGAAGCCACAUUCGUGCCUUAUUGAACUACUGUACCAGCCUGGAAUGGCUCCUCACCUCCUAUUAGCAACAGUUUUCUUAUUGCAUUCCUUCAAAGCUAACCUUCUCUCUAACCACCCACCCUCCUAUUACUGACCCCCCUACCAACUAUAGUCAACAUCCUGUUCCUUUAACUGUUUAACAUUCCUUUAACUGUUAGCAAUAAUGCUUUCCCACCUACAUCAUAUCAUUUACUGGCAGAUCUUUCUCUGAAGGACCAGAUGGUAAAUAUUUUAGGCUUUGCAGACUAUAUGAUCUGUCUCCACUGCUCAAUUCUACCACUACAGCACGAAAGCAGAGAUAAUACGUAAACAAAUGGGCAUGUGGUUUGCCAACCUCUUACUAGAGUUUUCCACCAUGUUAUCCUUUGUGCUUAUUAAAAGUCCUGUUUAUCCUUCAAGCUCCAUCUUGAAUAGGAAUUCUCUAUAAAAAUUUUCAUUUCCAGGGUGCCUGGGGGGCUCAGUUGGUUAACCAUCUAACGAUUUUGGCUCAGGUCAUGAUCUCACGGUUCAUGAGACUGAGACCUGAGUCAGGCUCUGCCCUGAGUGUGAAGCCCGCUUAAGAUUCUCUUUCUCUCCCCCUCUGCCCCUCCUGCGUGCAUACAUGUGUGCUUUCCCCCUCUCUCUCUCAAAAUCAAUAAAUGAACAUUAAAAAAAAAAAAAAUUUUAUUUCCCCAAAUGCCUAUGCUCUCCGAAUCCCCAGUGAAUUUGAUACGUCUUUAUUCUGUAAAGUUUUCCUUCUUAAAUUAAACUGAUGCUUUGAUGGUAUUUGUUAUCACACCUCAUUCAACAAUGAUUCAAUGUUUUGUGACAUUUCUUAUGUAUCAUCUUGAUCUUUUUAAACCCCGUUACUUUUUUUGUUAAGAUUUUACUUUUAAGUAAUCUCUACACCCAACAUGGGGCUCAAACUCAGAACCCCAAGAUCAGGAGUUGCGCACUUCACUGACUGAGCCAACGAGGCACCCCAACCCUCUAUUACUUUUUAAGUGUGGAUACUUUCCCAUCCCACCCACAUUUUUAACUUCUGGAGCAUGGACAAAAUAAUAUUUUAUUAUCUCACUCUCUUAGCAGUUAGCAUGAUAGUAACAUUCUCUAAGAAAUGGGUGACGCUGGCUAUUGAGGAGGGUUGGGAAGCAGACAGGGAAACGGGAACUGUUCUGGAUGGACAGAACUGUAAAAUAUUCUGUCCUUUGGUGUAACCUGGAGUCAACUCUUUUUAGGAAGCUCCAUGGGCGUAUCUCCACAAGGAGGGUCAAGAAACUGACAAAGCUAGUUGCUCUGAGGAGAGGAAUGAGGUGCUUGAGUACAAAAGUAUAUUAUAGUGGAUAACUUCCUCAUAUACUGUUUGAAUUUUCAUUAAACCACAAAAAAGUACUAUCUGGUACAAAUAAAUAAGAAAGACAGCAAACAAAAGAAAAUCACAUGGCAAAAAGUACCAAGAGCUAUUAGAAACUCAUCCUUUGGCCAGAUAGUCCCAACUCAAAGAAGGUAUGUGCCAGAUUAUUCUGGGCACUGUGAAUAAAACAGCAAAUGAAAUGGAUUCCUGCCUUCAUGAAUGUCAUAUUCUAAUAAGAAGAAACAGACAAUCAGUUAAUACAUAAAAUAGUGUAUUAGUCAUAGUUCUGUGAAAAAAAAAUCAAGUAGGGAAGAGAAUAGGGGAAUUUCAUGGGGGUUGGAUUGUAUCUUUGGUGGGGGGUGGGGAUCAGGGAAGGUCCUAGAAUGUGACUUUUGAGAAAAGACUUUUUUGAAAGUGAGAGUACAAACCACAUGAAUAUCUUCGGGGAGGGGAAAGCAUUUCAGGCAGACAGAACAACAAAUACAAAGGCCUGAGAAAGGAGCAUGCUAGGUGUGCUCAAAGCAAAGCAAAAGGUCAUUAUGGCUACAUGGAGUGAGGGAGAGGCUGGGAGAGUCACAGAGGUACUAAAGACAGAUCAUAUAACAAAACAGAAAUUAUGGGUAGUGAGAUUAAAAUGGAAAUGUAAAACAUCCAGACUGUAUCACAAAAACUUAGAAACAGGAAAGGAAAAAAGUAAAACUAAAGCUCUCAUUUUAUACAGGCAAGUAGAAAGAUAUGUAUUCAUUACUGAUGUUAAAAAAACAAAAAACAAAAAAACGGGCGCCUGGGUGGCUCAGUCGGUUAAGUGUCUGACUUUAGCUCAGGACAAAAUCUCAUUGUUUGUGGGUUCAAGCCCUGCAUUGGGCUCUGUGCUUACAGGUCAGAGCCUGGAGCCUGCUUCAGGUUCUGUGUCUCCCUCUCUCUCUGCCCUCCCCCACUCACACUUGCUCACAUGCUCUCUCUCUCUCAAAAAUAAACAUUAAAACAAAAAUUAAAAAAAAAAAAA